GGUAUAACACGAAUAAAAUUUAUAUUCUAAUUUUAAAAUUUGUCAAAAGUUAGAACUUAAAAACAAAUUCAUAAAUUAUUCGGAUACGCGAUUUAUACGAAAAUUAUACAUUCACCAAUUAAAAAUCGGGAUAAAAAAUUCAGCUAUUAAAUUAAUUUUUUUCUUUAAAUUUAUGCUACUAGCAUAAAUAAUUAAAAUUUUUAAGAAUAUAAAAAAAAACCGAGAUACAAAAUAAAGUAUAUUAAGUAAAAAAAAAUAAUAACAAAAUUCAUUAUUGUCUCCAUCUUCAUCUUCUUCAUGAACCACAUAUUUCAAAUUAUUCGCGAAUAAUAAAUCAAACCUAAAAAUUCACGUUGCAAUCCAAUUUUUUGAGAAAAAAAUUAUAUAUAGAUUGUUUUAUUCAGAU
rnacentral:lncRNA from 1 species